rnacentral:rRNA from 1 species
CUAGAUACCCCUCCCACCUAUCUAUCCGCCCGAGAACUACGAGCACAAACGCUUAAAACUCUAAGGACUUGGCGGUGCCCCAAACCCACCUAGAGGAGCCUGUUCUAUAAUCGAUAAUCCACGAUCCACCCAACCACCCCUUGCCAGUACAGCCUACAUACCGCCGUCGUCAGCCCACCUCCAAUGAAAGAACAAUAGUGAGCUCAAUAGCCCCGCCCGCUAAUAAGACAGGUCAAGGUAUAGCCCAUGGGGUGGAAGAAAUGGGCUACAUUUUCUAACCUAGAAUAAGCGAAAAAGGAUGUGAAACCCCUCCUUGGAAGAAGGAUUUAGUAGUAAAGUAAGACCAUGCCCC